UUAGAACUACAACAGGUGUUAUUCUCUUGCACUUUGCGACAUGAGAUGAAGUGUUGGAGUCCUUCUGCUUCCUGGGCACGAUCCUCAGCCAAGACCUCAAGUGGGAGCAGAAAAUCAGCUCCCUCACCAAAAAAGCCCAACAGAGGAUGUUCUUCCUACGGCAGCUGAAGACCUGCCAAAGACAAAUGAUGGUGAAAUUCUACACCUCCAUCAUGGAGUCCAUCCUCACCUCCUCCAUCACCAUCUGGUACGCUGCCGCUACAGCCAAGGACCAGGGCUGCAGCGUAUCCUCCGCUCUGCAGAGAGGGUGAUCGGCUGCAAUCUGCCAUCCCUCCACGACCUGCACACCUCCAGGACCCUGAGGGGGGACCGACCCCUCCCACCCUGGACACAAACUGUUCACCCCCCUCCCCUCUGGCAGGGGACCAAAACCUCUCCAUCACUCUUUUAGAGGAAAUAACAAAAUGACAAAAGUAAAGCGCUCACAUGGAGGGAAAAAGGCACAACACUGAUUCUCUUAAGCGAUGGCUUGGAUCUGGCUUCUUGGGAAGACGAACAAGACGAACCGACAACUAACAAGGAGAGACAGGACAAUAUAUACAUGAGGUGAUGAGUCAAAAUUCCUGAAGGAGUUGACAAUAUGCAAAUGAGAGGUCAAGGUUGAGCAAGACAAAGUUGAUGUCAUUUUGAAUCUUGGCAGCUCUACGGCAGGAUGAGUCAGGAGCCAUUUGGGGUGAAGUGUCUUGCCCAGGGACACAACGACAUGCUG